rnacentral:lncRNA from 1 species
CGAAUACUCUGCAGCUUUUCAAAUGCAGGUUGCAGGGUUGGGGUUGAAGUUGAGAAGAGUCCUGCUUAAUCCUGGUUCCCUACUAUCCUUUUCUACCAAGAUGAGAAGAUUUCUGUGGCCAGGAGGAUGAGUGUUGCAGGAAGCAGCACUGAAAAUUCUCCAGACUGGUCCAAGAGGAAGACACUAAGCUGCAUGGCCCAGAAGGAAAACAUAACACAGGAUGGAAGAUAGAAACAAAGGAAUUAUAAUAGAUAAAAUUGUCAGGAUGAUCAACAGCUCAGGACAGAUAUAGACAGCACCAUGUGGGAGCAGCAAAAGGGUGAAAAAGGGUAAAGGAGGGGGAAAAAUGUAUUUUUAAU